rnacentral:lncRNA from 3 species
GAGGACGACAACAUCGUGGUGGUUGACAGCGGCGGCCGGCGGCGGUUGAGGCGAAGGCGCUGCUCCGGGCCUCGCUAUCGGACGCCGAGCAACACCUUAACCAGCAAGGAGGUCAAGAGCAACAGCCGGCGGCUGCUCCACGUCGGCAAUAUUGAUAGAACAAGCAAGAAUGGUGCACGUACACUGUGGGGGCAUUUGUGCAAGUAA